rnacentral:rRNA from 1 species
AACGAACGCUGGCGGCAUGCCUAACACAUGCAAGUCGAACGAGACCUUCGGGUCUAGUGGCGCACGGGUGCGUAACGCGUGGGAACCUGCCCUUAGGUUCGGAAUAACUCCCCGAAAGGGGUGCUAAUACCGGAUAAUGUCUUCGGACCAAAGAUUUAUCGCCUUUGGAUGGGCCCGCGUUGGAUUAGCUAGUUGGUAGGGUAAAAGCCUACCAAGGCGACGAUCCAUAGCUGGUCUGAGAGGAUGGUCAGCCACACUGGGACUGAGACACGGCCCAGACCCUGACGGAAGGCGGAAGUGGGGAAAAUGGGACAGUGGCGAAAGCCUGAUCCAGCAAUGCCGCGUGAGUGAUGAAGGCCUUAGGGUUGUAAAGCUCUUUUACCCGGGAUGAUAAUGACAGUACCGGGAGAAUAAGCUCCGGCUAACUCCGUG